ACCGUGAUUUGUGAUUUGUGAUAUGUGACUUGUGACUAGUGUUGUUACGUUGACUUGUUCUGUGGUCAGCAGAAGGUGACAAGUGAACCAAUAUAAUCCAUGAAUCGCGACCGUGGUGAUGUGCAGAGUCGCGGACUCUAGUAACUCACUAGACUACACCAAAAAGGGAAAUUCUUAAGGACGGAUAACCAAGACAAGCAUGCCUCCCAAGCGACGAAGAAGAUUCCAGGGACUCUACUACCAUUCAUCGCCGCCCAAAGUCAUGCCGAUGAAUGGACAGACGGGUGGACAAAAUGGACGCAAGCGCCGUGAUAAUGAAGAUUUCUCGGUAAAGUUAUCCACCAUUCGGAUCUGGAUUCACGAGAAGGACAUCGGCAAGCUGACGCGCAUUUUGUGGGCGGGCCAGGGCAACCGGCUCAGCCAGCAGGCCAGCAACAAUGGGCGGGUGAAGCGCUUCCUGGCCGCCGUGCCCCAUGUCAUGAAUGCCAUCAAGGAUCUGCACCAGGCGGUCAUCGACAACAGCCUGGAGAGCGUGCAGGCGCAGCUGGAGCCCCCGGUGCCCAGUGCUCUGGUAACGUGCAAGGACGGCAACGGGCUCAACAUCAUCCACAAGGCCGCCGGGCUGGGCCACACCAAGAUCCUGGAGUACCUGGUGGGCAUUUGGCCGGAGGGGGCCCACGAGACGGACAUCACCGGGAAGACGCCGCUCCACUGGGCCGCCAGUGCCAAGAACAACAUGCGAUGCUACACCCUGCUCACCCAAGCGGGCUGCGAUGAGGAGGCCGUCGACUAUAAAAUGAAGACACCCUCCUACUACCGCCACAAGCCGCACGAAAUCGAGCGCGCCUUCCUGGUUUAUGUGCCGGAUGCGCCGCGUGUCUCCCCCGACAGCGCCACCGAUUGGGAGGCCUUGAGCGAUGACAGUGGCGUGGACAGUGGCGCGGUCGGCGAUGCCGGCUCCAAGAAACUGGACAUCAAGGUGCCGCCGUCGGUGAACGGUAGCAAAUCGCUGGACGACAGCCUUGAGAACACCUCGGAGCUGGACACCAACGAGGGUACGAGUGCCAAUGACGACGAUGACGAGCUGUCCAAGGCGGAUGCACAGCGGGAAGCGGAAGCCGGCUCGCCAUUGCAGCGCCGACCGGAAACGCCGGCCACUUUCAACACGAUCAAUGGCGAUGGCGAAGUCGAUGGCGAUGGCGAUGGCGAUGACAGCGAGGCCGAGAAUAUUGCAAGAGCUGUAAGCGCAGACGGAGGCGGCGAGGCUGAAGGCAUCGGAGUGGGGCAGGAUGGAGGCGGAGAUGCGGCGAUCGUGGAGAAUGGCGGAGAUCACGGGCAGGAGGAGGAGCAAGAGCAGGAGCAGGAGCAGGAGCAGGAGGAUCAGCCAGAGGAGGCUGCUAGCGUGAGUGAGCUCGAAGGAAACAUAAAGACUGAAGCGGAGCAGGAGAAGGAGAAUGAUUCUGCGGAGGAUGUAGCAAAUGGGCCGGAAGGUACUGCUGAGGAUGAAGCGGAACCGGAAAUGGCCACCAUGUCCGUGGAGGAGAAGGAUGCCGAGUCAGAGAACGAAAUCGAAAACGAAAACGAGAACGAAAACGAUGACGACGAUGAGGAUGUAAUAGCUUCAGACAGCAAAGGAGGCAAUCCGCAGGAGGAGCCAGAACAGCCAGGACACGAAGCGACCCAGGAGGAUGAUGGCAACGAGUCCCUGACAUCGGCAAUGGCCAUUGAGGGCUUUGUGCAAGGUGCACCCGAGGAUUUUACAGUUCAGUCCCAAACUGCAAUUGAUGAAGAUGAACGCAUUAGGCGAAUUGUGGAGGCCGGAGACCUGGAGCAGCUGGCCGAGAUCGUGCUGAAUGGCGAGGGCGGCAGCCUGGUGGGUCUCAAGUCCCCGGAGCCGGAAAUACAGGCCUUCCUCAACAACGUGCCCAGUUAUAUGGAGAAAAUACAUCGCGUGCAUGACGCGGCACGUGACGGAGGACUGCUGGCACUGCAGCAGGCUCUGGAUCGCCGGAAGUUUGCCAUUGCCAAGAACGACAUAUCGCCCAACGGCUCCACGCCUUUGCACGUGGCCGUGCUCUUUGGCCACACGGACAUCGUUCGGUACUUGGCGUCCCGCUUUCCGGAGACCAUGACCAUUACGGAUAAUGACGGACGCACGCCGCUUCAUUACGCAGCCACAAUUAAGGACAACGGUCACUUCUACAACAUGCUCCUGCAGUUGGGCGCCAAUCCCAAAUCACUGGACAAGCUGGGCCACUCGGCCGAGUUCUACCUGGACAAGGACAAGGCGAAAAACAUUCUCAACUACACCGAGCUGCUCAACAUUUUCGGUGCCGAGGAACUGGAGAACCAGUUGCUCAAUGACCAGGUGCCCGACGAUCUGCACAGUGCCCGGCGGGAGCUGCAGGAUGGCGAGAUCUCGAGGACGUUGGAGCGCUGCUAUAGCGUCAUUUCGGAGUCGGGCAAGCUGUUGAGCGGGACCACUGCUUCCGCCCUGUCCCAUCGAAAGCCUUUGAGUGCAUCCUCGCUGCAGCUUUCGGUGACCAGCUACCUGAGUCGCUUCCUCAAGCGGGCUGUCUACGAGAAGAUCAAGCGACGGCAAACCCGACUCGAUCACAAUCUCUUCGAUGUUUUGUGGCCUGCCAUGCGGAAAACUUCGAAGGUUCGCCACCUGGAAGAGGACAUCAACUGCGGGAUUAUAGCCCCAGACUUCGAUGUGUUUGUGGUGUUCCAGGAGUUCCUGGUGCCCUUGCUGAAGGACAUGCAUUGCCUGAGUAUCGAUGCCGAUUUCAAGCCACAACCGCGUCUGGCCUACUUUCCAAUGGACAACGGUGAAAGGCUCAACACGGCUGCUUUUGUCUUUGACGAUGAAUCACUUUUGGUCACCCGAUGCUUGGUGGAGGUCUCUAGGAAUCUAGAUCAGUUGGAGCUGCCUUUGAACCUCACUAUUGGCCAACUGGAGCAAGCGGAGCGCCUAAUGAUGAGCAAGAUAUUCACGACCAGCUUUGCAGAUGCCAUUGGCGAAACGGAUUCGGGAAACUAUUACACCAUGACCGAGCUGUUGGAACCCGAUUCCGAUGUGGCCAUUAUGCUGAGCAGUUUGGGUCUGAUGAUUCCCCUCCUAGACACCCAGGAUCUGGUGCAGGCUGCCGAGUCCACGGCCUUCAAUGGAGCCCUAUGGCCUUAUGGCAGGGGUGUCUUUGUUAACUCGGCCAACAACUUGGCAGUGUGGCUAAAUUGUCAGGAGCACCUGAGAAUAAUCUCCACCAGCAGCAGCAAAGAGCCGGCAGACAUGGGAGCUGCUUACACGAGAGUGGGCAGAGCCAUAUCGUAUCUGGAAACCCAGUUGCACUUCAAGGAGAGCUACCUCCUGGGAUACCUGCAAUCCAGACCAAGUUACUUGGGCACCGGCCUCAAGAUGACCACCAUAGUAAAGUUACCCAAUCUGAUGAAGGAGAUGGACAACCUGCGACACUUGUGCUCCGUGCGGGGUUUGAGUAUGGUGACAAAUCGCCUUUCGAAGCUCACCGUGCGCCUUGUGAAUAUGCAAAGCAUGGGUGUGGUGGAGUACGUGCUUUUCCAGGACUACUGCACUGCUGUCACGAACAUCCUGUCGCUGGAAAAGGAUAUGUCGCUUACGAACUCCAAACACAUUGCCACCAUGCUGGUGAAGAUCUUCAAGCGAAAGAAAAACAGCAUCGUGGAUCGUAACUAGAAGAAAGUCAUAAAUCCAACCUCAAUGUACAUACAUACAAAAGCAAAUAAAUCCUCGGCACAGAAAGUCUUAAAUACAUAUAUGCAUAUACUUAACUCGAUUGAUUCCUGCCUCGUCUGCUCAUCUAAAAUUUCCUCCGCGUACGCUGCGCUUAAAGUUAAUCUGCAAUCGUCAGGCGCAGCCAGUGAGCUUUCAGGCCAAUCCCAUCUUCAAGACGGAGCAGGGCAAAUAUCUGGCUGAUU